rnacentral:lncRNA from 1 species
UUUGAUGGGAAUGAAUGUCAUUAAAAUAUAUUGUCACAUUAUCUCGACAGCAAUAUAUGUACCUUUUUUUUUCUCUACACUGCACAUCACUCAAGCUAAGCUAUACUGUAUAUCGUAGAUAAUCGAGACAUUUCUCUAAAGAAAUUAAAAACCUUUGAACUUUAUCAGGAAUUAUAUUCAGGACACAUCGUCAUGUGCACGUACAAUUUUUGAACAAAUUGACAACAAGCUGAUCAGAAAGAACUGAACCGAUGCACGAAAUGAGUGAGCACUCGUCACAGCCACUCUAGGUAACCAAGGGGCUUGUCUGUCUUUAGCCCACUAAUGAUUCUAUACUGCUAAAGCACCGAUCAAUCAGUGCGCGAAAUAGGUGACGAACAGCGCCGCAAACAUUAGCAGGUACGCGAUCGCCUGAUCAAUCGCCUUCGCGUCGACCACGCGCGCCGUCGCCGCUAGGGUCGCCGGCUUGUCCUGCGCCAUGGACAGCUGCAUGAGCCCGGAGAAGAAGAAGGCCGUGAACACCAGCACGUUCACCUUCACGGCCGCCAUUUUUUUUACAGCUGCCCAAGCUUGCAAAGUUCUCUUAUUUCUUUGUG